rnacentral:rRNA from 1 species
UACGAAGGGGGCGAGCGUUGUUCGGAAUUACUGGGCAUAAAGCGCGCGUAGGCGGCCUGCUAAGUCGAACGUGAAAUCCCUGGGCUCAACCCAGGAACUGCGUCCGAUACUGGUUGGCUUGAAUCCGGGAGAGGGAUGCGGAAUUCCAGGUGUAGCGGUGAAAUGCGUAGAUAUCUGGAGGAACACCGGUGGCGAAGGCGGCAUCCUGGACCGGCAUUGACGCUGAGGCGCGAAAGCCAGGGGAGCAAACGGG